rnacentral:rRNA from 1 species
GUCGUAGUCCGGAUUGGAGUCUGCAACUCGACUCCAUGAAGUCGGAAUCGCUAGUAAUCGUAGAUCAGAAUGCUACGGUGAAUACGUUCCCGGGCCUUGUACACACCGCCCGUCACACCAUGGGAGUGGGUUGCAAAAGAAGUAGGUAGCUUAACCUUCGGGAGGGCGCUUACCACUUUGUGAUUCAUGACUGGGGUGAAGUCGUAACAAGGUAACCG